rnacentral:lncRNA from 1 species
ACAGACUACACCAUAUGAGGAAAAAACUGAAAGAUGAAUUGGAGGACAAGAACACAGUUCAAGAAUAUGUAUGCCCCAACUGUGGGAAAAGGUUUCUGCUGAUAGGUUCAUUUUGUUCAAUCUAUUGCAGCAAGGACAAAUUUGCAGAUUUUGUGUAGUGGCUAUGAGCCUAUGUCAUGCAGAUUUUGUGUAGUGGCUAUGAGCCUAUGACAACAUUUUGUAUAGUGGCUAUGAGCAUAUGACAAAUAUUUUGUUCAAUCUAGUGCAACAGGGGAAAAAUGGUAAAUUUGAGAUGAUAGUGUAAUUUUCAGAUGAAAUGAAACUGCAUUCUGUGUUUUUGCUCCAUUUCUAUUCAGUCUUAAAUUACUUGUAUUACUUGCAAUGUUUGUUGGUCUCAGUUCUCUCAUAAAUUCAAAGCUAUGAAAUCAAAAUGCAGCACAAACAUUCAUACUGUGAAAUGUUUCUUCAUUGAAAAUUUGAAAUGAUACAUAAUAUUUGAUUAGAAACACUAGUAAAUUGGUCUAUGAGUCUAUCUGACAUCUUCUUCUAUGAACUAAUCUGCACCAUUCAUUGAUUAUAAUGAAAGGUGACGAUUCUAGUUAAGUACUUCUCUUGCAAGUCUUCCAAGUUCCAACACUGAAAGAGAGUUCACUAAGUUCAGAGGUGAUCAAUAUUGCUAUGCACCAAACUAAGUUCAGUAAGGUCAUCCGGUUGAAAAGCUGGUGGGAGAGAUUUUGAUGGAUACCAACUCCAAUCUGCCUCUUCUAAUUCAGCCAAGCGUAACAAUAUGCCUUCAAUGCUUUUCAGCCUAACAAUAGAAUAGAGUAAAUCUUAUCAACUUCAAUCCAAAUCAUAAAACCAUAGUGAAAAUCAACUUUCAAUCUUUACACACUUGAAGAAAAUAGGACCCAUCUGUCCAAAGAGCUGCUUUAUCUUUGGUGACAACAGCAGUGCCUGCACUCCCAGUGAAACCCGAUAUAAAUGUCCUCCUCAUGUAACAUUUAGCAAUGAACUCGCUCUGAAAUCCAUAACAAAAACUUAAGACCUAUAUUCAACAAUCACAAGAACAUGCACAAAAGUGAGAUUCAAUCUCUAAACUAUAAUUCAAAGGGAAUAAACAUAAGCCAGCAGCCAAUGCAAUCAAACUACACAAAUGAGCUCCAAUGAGCUCUUAUUUCACAAUCUCAUUACCGAAAAACAGUAAAACCUGGCUGAUUUAAUCCUCAACAGUUAGUAGCACAUCAUAACUCUCAAACUUGUGCAAUGUAUUACUAGAACUCAAGUCAAAUAAUAUCAUAUGUAAUGUCAUGUUGAGUUAAAACUGUGCUAAAUUAAGUUCACUCAACUGCACAGCUCAUCAGAUAAGAAAAAGGUAAAAAUUGCACAGUUUGCAGAAGUGUUUGAGCUCCAUAUAUUAAGUUGCGAUUUGGAGUGGUGAAGUAAUCUUUACUGUUGGGGAUUUUAAAAGGAGUUCCUUCAGUACUUUCCAGACCAGGACAUGAGGGCUGGAAUCUACAGGAAUAUUUUUUCAUGCAAUUCAUACUUCAGGUUUGGUUCUGGAUGAUGCUACUAGACCAAGGUUUGAAAAGGCCAAAGUUUAUGGCAAGGUCAAACUUACAUCUUGGAUCACAGCUCAUGGAAAACACAACAGUUGUCAUAUACUUCAGAACAAGAGACAACAUAUUGCCUAUCUCCAAGCAGGAAAUCAUCCACAUCACAAAGACACAUCAGUUCAACAGGAAUGAGUACUAGAGAAAAUGAACAAAUUUAUCAAUUGUUAAACAAAUCCACCAUAUCAUGUAUAAUACCAACUUUGGUGUAUAGUCUAUCACACACCAAUUGCUUAAAAACACUUUUUGUUCCAUGCAAUUCAUUUCUGAUCAACUAUAGGUAUAGACCAUGAUAGAGUAAAACCAAAGCUCCUAGUUUUCAAACAACACCACAAAGACUAAAACUACACAAAUCACAACUAGCAUUUCACACCAAGCUAGAAAUGAAUCCAAAUUUCCAACAGCAAAUAAAAUCGAAACAAGGCUUGAAACUUUUUGAGGCUGAAAGCUCAAAAACUAGCAAAAUCAAAACACAAACUUUCAUAGUAUCAAAACGACGUAGUUUUAAACCUUCUUGAGAUGGGAUGACGUAAGCGUCGAGGCCGACGCCGGGGAAGAGGUUCCGGAGAGCUCGGAGCUUGGCGUCGGAGGAGUCGAAAGCGGCGGAGAUGGAGGUGCAGCUGCGGAUGGAGAAAGUGGGGGGCUUUUGGGAAAUAGAGAGCAGUGACGGCGGAGGGAGGCAGAGCGAGCGACGGAGGAGGGAGGCGGAGCGAGUGACGACGCCAGAGAGAGAGAGCGACGGCGGAGGGAGGCAGACCGAGCGACGGGUUAGAGAGAGAGUGCGGGGGCGACGACGGCUGAGAGAGAGAGAGGGCUGUGGUUUGAAAUCGAUUUUGAGGAGAAGAGGGAGAGGUUUCCUUAAUGAGAGGGCUGGUUCGAAAUCGAUUUUGAGGAGAAGAGGGAGAGGUAAAUGUGAAAUAGGUCUCUAUUUUAACUAGAAAGAUCUCAGCCAUUGGUUAAAAGUAAAUGGCUGAGAUUAAUUCAUGAGGAGAUAUGAGGACCCUCUCAUGAGGAGAGGAUCCGGAUUCGAUAAUUAUUCAGUAAAAUGAUGUGGAAUUGAAAAAUUUAUUUUGAGAGAUUGUAGUAGGGUUUGAACCAGUACAUUAGUUUUUCUUGUGUAUGAAGAGUCAUUUUCAGUCCAAUAUACUGUGCUUUUGGUUAUGAAAGUUUGAUUUUCGAUGACAACCUAGGACUAUGGUUGGUUCAGUUUUGUUACUUGUGAUUGAUAUCUUUGUGUAACUGUGCUUCAAGUUUGUAAUUUCCUUUUCACAUUUCAAAUUAUGCAGGAAUUCUAAGGGAUAUGACUUGGCAAAAAUGGUUUAACUCCAAAUUUACACAUAUAUCUCCAGUCUGGUAUGAUCUGAAGAGGUAUACUUCCAGUUUUCUUUGUCUUAUGAAGUGAGAUGAGUAGUUGGUCUUUUUCCUAAACAAUAAAAGUAAGUAUUAAAUUCCUUCCGUUUCAUUACCAGUCAAGGGGCCAGCUUAAUUCUGGAAGGCAGACAUAACGCUGAUAUUGGGUACGGUGGAUCUCAGACUUUAGACGGGCAGGAGACGCAUGAGAAGGGUGUCAACUGAUGUAGAAUGAAGAGAUUUUGAGUCAAGUAGAUGUCAUUGUAUGAUGAUUUUGGUUGAUCCAUUUAGUUUCCUUGAUUUGUAAUGUUGAUCUGCAAUGUUGAUGUAUUAUUUUUGGAUAUCUAGAGCUGAAAUGGUGUAAACUGCAAGAAUCAUGUUUGGGCCCGAAAUAAUUCCUGAAAGGCCGAAAAAAAAAAUUCAGGCCGGGCUUAAAAACUGAAAAAGCACGACCCGACCCGACCCAAUUUUUUCGAGUUUCGGUCGGGUUUUCUGAAAACCCGAACCGGCCCGACCCGAGCCCAGCCUUAGUUUCAACAUUUGUUCCAUCAAAUUUUGUGUUCCCCCUACAAAUUUGAGGCUGAAUUUGGGAGAAUGUUGGAGGGAAACAUUGGCAGACAAGGUUUUGUUGAAAAUACAUACUUUCACACCAUAAUUUUUUUACAAAACGUGGUAUCACUCUUACAUGUUGCACACCUUACAAUUUGGGAACCUGGUGCUCACAUUUUUACACAUUCACACCACGAUUUUAUAUAAAACUGACAUCCAAAAAGCUAAAAAUUAAUCACACAACGGGUUAUCAUUAUACGAUAGGCAUUGUCUGAAACUGUUUUUUAGUAGUGACGUGGCACUAAUUAAUAAUGAAGCGUGUAACUGCUAUGUGUCGAACGGAAAUAGCAUUUGCCCUACCCUGGCCCACUUAACAUGGACCGCCUAGCCGUGCACGUUUCCACCUAGCCCGUACAAAGCCCAUUUCACAUUAAUUUUUAACUUUUAAAGGAUGGACCCUGGCCCAUUUUGGCCCACUAAGCAUCGACCGCCUAGCCACGCACUGUUUCCGCUAGCCCGCAAGAAGCCCAGCCUACAUUAAUUUUUGUUUUGGUUGAAUGGGGCCAUUUCGUAGGGUUUUGUAGCUCUUCUUCAGUGGGUAAGGGUUUUGUAGCGAUCGUUCUUCUGCAGUUGUGCUUCUAUUAUUAUCUAUGAAAAUUCUGUUCACAAAUUCCGAGCAAACCUUCCAUUGUACUGGGUUCAUGUUCCUAAUUAACUCGAUUUCUUACACACUUUGUUCUUAUGUUCAAUGGUGGCUGAACUGCAGCUGAUAGAAUCAAGUGACACGUUUGAGAAGAAUUGUUGCUAGCACCAAGAAAAGCACGAAUCGCGGCCAAUCUUAAUAAGAUGUUUCCAGAAUAUAGAUUUAUAUAUAUAGUAAACGUUGAUGAAACAAAUUAAACAUAUGUGGAUGAUUGUAUUAAUUCAUCCUUAGCAAACAGCUAGCUAGGGAUCUGAUUUGGAUCUCUAACAGAAAUUGAUUAAUGAACACUAGCUGAUUUCUAUUCUUUUUUUUCCCCCAUGAUCCGCAUUAAUAUUUUGCGGAGAUCGUUAAAGAAAAGCAUAAGAAAGAGCAACGUUAUCUAUGAGUAUCGGUAUCUAGAAAAGCAACGUUAAAGAAAGCUACAAGAAAGAGCCUGAUGAGCCUCAUCCUUUUCAUCCUCAUGCAUCGAUCUUUUCUUUCAGUGAGAUCGAGCUAGAGAAUCUGGACAGGGUCUGUUCCUCACGUCCUCACCAAACCAGAAAAACGCUAAUAAUCUUAGAUUGUGAUAUGCCACGAUCCGUCCUCGCAUUCUUUAUCUUUAAACUAAGCUUUUGACGUUCCCAUCAAUAUUGUGGCCAAUAUUCGAAUUGCUGAUGCAAAGCUUAGGGGAAUAUAGUUAGGGAAAUAUAGUCCUGCAGUCUUUUCGACCGAGGCGUCGACUUACAUAUAACUAAUGUGUUAACCCUAGAGUAAAGAGGUGUUCUGUGUAACGUAUCAUCAACAUGGCUUCUCUAUAUAGCUUAUAUAUUUUACUAUAGAUAAUUACUUAAUUUCUCUUGACAAAAAUAAUCAAGAGUUCAUUAUUAUAAAUAGUUCUGCUAUGUUUAUAUAUAGUAUAGGAUGUAAUACAGUGUACAUACAUAAUUUUCGAUCUGUUUUCAAGCGUUUGCUUUGUGUCCUUUUCAUGAUUGGAUUCGAUCCAAGAAGGAAAAGGAGGUCCCAAUUGGAUAAAUCCAACUAUUCUUUCCGACUCAGAAAAUAUUCGAGCUGCAAAAUCGAUACAAAAUGAAACACCAUGGCCUGCAGAUCUAUAUAUCAUCCUAUCAAAUUUCCAUGACAAAAAAUUUAGAAUUAAUGAUUACUAAUGGAAUAUUACACCCUAACCCUUAUAGGAAAAGUAACCUAAUUAAAUUUACUUGAUUCACCUGAUUUUUUACGAUAAUAAGCAUAUCAAAAUAAGCAUGCGAAUCUUUUUGUUACUAAUAGACAUGAAGCAGUUGUCUAUAUGUACAAGUGAUGUAAAAUAAGGCACACAACACCAAAAUGAGAAACAAAAACGAAGAACAAAAUGCAUAUAUGGCAGUAAUAUAAGCAAGGAUAUGAUGGAGCCUAUCUAGGAUAAGAAUUUAUGUGAAGCCGUACGUACCAAGGACACGUCUCUAUAUCUGUUAAAAUUCGACAAUGUGUGCCUGCCUUCAACUUCGAUUCUCCUUAGCUAGUGCAGCUUUGGAUAGCCGUCUAGAAAUGAUCGAUCAAAGUAUGUGAAAUAAAAAAACAAAUCGAACAAUCUUAUUUUCCUUCUUUAUCAAAACCCUUUUAGACGGUGCCAAUCCAUCAACUCUCACCCAUCUCCUAUAUAUAUACACUUCCAGGGCACUCCAUAACUCACAAACUCAUCAAAAACCUCACCAAUACACAUUCCUCUGAAAGCUUUAAUCUCUACUUCCUCUGAAUCUAAACACAUUUCACUUACCAACCCGCCGUUGCCAUUAGCAUACACUUCGCCUUCGAGUCAUUACAUUUUCGCCUUGUUUACCAAAAGAAAGCUGCUAGCUAGCAAUGGAGGCGGUGACAAAGAUGGCGUCCGAGAGACCAGUGGUGAUCUUUAGCAAGAGCUCAUGUUGCAUGAGCCACUCAAUCAAGACCUUGCUUUCCGACUUUGGUGUGAACCCCGCAGUGUAUGAGCUUGAUGAGAUGCACAGAGGGAGAGAAAUAGAGCAAGCUCUGUUGAGGCUCGGAUGCAGCCCAUCUGUGCCGGCUGUGUUCAUUGGUGGCGAAUUUGUUGGCGGAGCCAAUGAAGUCAUGAGCCUGCAUCUUAAGCGCUCUUUAAUCCCCAUGCUUAAGCGCGUUGGUGCAUUGUGGGUUUGAUCAAUCUCAUCAAGUUAACCAACACUACCAGGACAAGUACUUUAGCCGACGAAAAAUUUUCGUCGGCCUGUUAUCCUAAUUCGUCGGCUAAGACCUUAGCCGACGAGCCUUCGUCGGCUAUAGUGUCGUCGGGAAAGGGUCGUCGGUGAUGGCUUUAGCCGACGAAUCUAAAGACCGUCGUCGGCUAUUGUCCGACUUUAACCGACGAACUAUUUUUUGUCGGCUAUUGUUCCAGACUUUAGCCGACGAACUAUUUUCGUCGGCUAUUGUUCCAGACUUUAGCCGACGACGUCCUGUGUCGUCGUCUAUACUCUCAGACUUAAGCCGACGAACAGAAUAUUCGUCGGCUAAAGUAUAUAAUUAAAAUAUUUAAAAAUAACUAUAGCCGACGACAUAGAGUCUGUUUCGUCGGCUUUAGUAGUGUUUAGCCAACGAAACAUGCCAUAAUUCGUCGGCUAAACCCUUUGGAAAAAAAAAAAUACUAUAGCCGACGAAUUGUGGCAUGUUUCGUCGGCUAUAACGCCAUUCCAAUAAAAAAAAAAAUACACGAAAUUCUUAAAUUACCAUUCCAAGCAAGCUGCAAAAUACACCAAAACAAUUCCAUAUAUAUAACCAACAAGAAGCACAUAAAACUAUAUAAGGUAUCAACUACACAAAAUCUAGAUGGUCUAAAUCAAUAUCCGAAUUUGGGGCCUGCUGGUGAGGAGAUUGCAGCGGCAGAGGUAACUCUAUAGGCGCAGGCAUGGGAGGAGGUGGAAGUCCCUGAAGCUAGGCAGCUGUAAAAUCCUGGAAGUACUGGAACAUCUGCUGCUGCUGGGCCUGCUGGGCGGCAUGUAGGGCUCUAGUAUAGGCUCUAUAUUCGGCAAUCUGGGCGGCAUGAGCGGCAGCCUGAGCAGCCUGAGCGUCAGCCUGAGCGGCAGCCUGAGCAGCAUGAGCGGCAGCCUGAGCGGCUUGCUGUUCCCGUAGUCUCUCAACUUCCGACUCUAGCUGAGUCGUCCUGCUGUGGGUCGAGGCUGCCUUUCGUUGAAAUCCUGGAGUGGUCUUCAGGACCCCCUGGCCCUUCUUUCCUAGACCCCGGCAGUAGAAGUUGUUUUCUCGCGGUGGGAAGGCUGUGCCCAUGAUCCUCGCCCCAACCCUCGGAUCUGAAGUGUCGAUCCGGAAAAUGGCUUCGGACAUCUCUUCCUCCUGCCUGUCCGGCCAUGUCUCCCUCACUAUAGCACUCAUCACCUCGUCACUAGCCUCCCUCACAUUUGCCUAAUUGGAUAGGAAAAAAAUUAUUAAUUAACAUUUUGACAUAUAUAUAAGUAAAAUUAAAAAUUCCGUAAAAAGGAAAGAGUACUUACUAUAUCCUCCUGGGAGUCAGGAUAUGCCCUCUCGUACGUAUAGACGUACUGGUUGACCUCUGGAUGUUCCCUGGCCGCCUCGUCCAUGAAGACAGCGAACGGUCUAGAACCGGCAUGAUGGUUCCUUGUGUUGCGUUGCCGGUUCUGAGCGUUCACCCGGGAAACCGCCUUCAAAGAAAAAAGUAAACUAUUAGUAAAAUAUUUUAAAACGCACGUACUUAAUGAUAAAUUAACGAAUUAAUUUAUUUAAAUACCUGUUUACGAGGGUUGUUGAAUUCUGAUGUCAGAAGCCAACGCCACUUGUACUCUCUGUACUGGAACUCAGCAGGGGUAGCAGAACGUGCGUUCCCGUGCGUAGUCUAAUGGGUCCGCAACUCGUUCUUCCACUCCUUGUACCUACAGAUACAACAAAAAUAUUAGAAAUAUUAUUNNNNNNNNNNNNNNNNNNNNAAAUACCCUAAUAUUUUUUCGUCAGCUAUAGUAUGUAAUAAAAAAAAAUUAAUAAAGCCGACGAAAUAUUAGGGUAUUUCGUCGGCUAUAAGUUCUUUUAGCUGACGACUUCUAGUAUUCUUCGUCGGCUAAGACUGGUUUAGCCGACGACUUUUAAUAUAAUUCGUCGGCUAAGAUGGUUUAGGCCGACGAAUUAUGUUGUAUUUCGUCGGCUUAAGUAAAAAAAUACAAACCCUAAAACAGAAGGUUUAAACCAAACUAAUUUCCUGUUCAUAUAUCACCAAAAUUCAUAUAAAAUAACAGAAAUAUGAAUUCAACAUAUGUAAACUAGAAAUUAAGGUAAUACAAUCUUUUUUAUUACAAAUUAAUGUAUUACAUCCGAAGAAAUUAAAACUAAGGCUCGUAAUCGGAAUCAUCCGAUGAGACUUCUUCGGUGUCAGAAUUAAUUUCUGGUAAUCUAUGCAUUUCCUCAUCGCCAGAGUCUUCGUCUGUUUCUUGAUUUGGAUCAACAUCAAUAAGCCUUAGCUCUUCAUCACGAAUUCGCACCGAACGACUCGCUUUAAAAUUAUUAAGGCGAACGGUAGAGGAGUUAGGAAUACCUAUUGUGUUGGGCUCUUGAUACGCAACAUCUUCUUCCUGGUCUUCGGCCUCUCCAAGUGUAGCCGCCCGGUAAAUGUUUCGAGGGUGCACAAGGUUGACUACUUUCCACGCGUCACCCUUAGCAAGGUCAUCAAGAUAAAACACUUGUUUUACCGAUGUGGCAAAAACGAACGGGUCAUCUUCGUAAGAACUUGUAGCAGUGUUCACCGAUAAUAUUCCGUACUGAUCGGUCUUCAUGCUCUGCGGGCUAGUAUCAAACCAUCUACACUUGAAGAGGUGCACUGUCAUGCCUUCACUAUAAACGAGUUCCACCACUGAAUCAAGAACACCGUAAUAGUCAACUCCAUUCCGCCCACCAUGCACCAUCACCCCAGAAUUCUGUGUUCUCCGUCUGCUGUCUCUCUGUUCACAUAUAAAUUGCAAGCCAUUCACCUUGCACAUCGGAUAAACUCUUGAGAUUAUCGGCUUCAUCGCUAGAAGUCUUAGUUUGUGCGACCAAUUUGGGUGACCAUCAAAUUGAAUAUGGUUCAUCUGCAACCAACAAUUUAACAUUGUAAAUAUAGAUAAUUAUGCAAUAAACAUAAAUACGUACAUAAAUAUUGAAUUACGUACCCAGCCGCCAAAAUAAUUUGCGAACUCCCUGUUGUGGUACUCGAGAUCACCUUGAAUGUCUGGACAAUAUAGAUGGAUGUCUUUCCAGUAUUCAACUUCUGGACAGUUAAUCAAUACCCACUAGUGGGCAAUGACUAGCUCAUGUGGUUGCAACUUGUAGGAGUCUGGCAAAAUUCUAUAAACUUCAACAUCACUAGAGAGUAUGGAAAGAUUGAACUUCGGUGCAUCUACCGGCAUGGCUUCGUCUGUUUCUUUCAACGCUCCUAAAUACAACUUCAUGUAGGUGACGCACUCGUGCGCAAUAUAUGCUCCAGCUAUACAUCCUUCAGGCGCGGAUUUAUUAGCCACAUAAUCUUUGUAGUCUCCAAGUUGCCUAUAAAUCAAGUUGCAAAAUGUUAUGAUUAUUGAACAUGUAUAUAUAUAUAUUGAGGAAUUUAGGUGUAAAAAACGUACCUUUCCAUGGGAUACAUCCAAGUGUAGUGUACUGGACUGGUAAGCAACAAUUGCUCGGGAAGAUGGAUCAUCAGGUGAGGCAUAAUGUCAAAAAAAUUUGGAGGAAAUAUCCUCUCAAAUUUACACAUAAUAUAAAUGAUGUCCUCUUGCAUUUCCCGGAAGUUAGAUUUUUUCACUUCCCGUGUGCAUAACUUCUGGAAGAAUCUUGCCAACGCUACUAACGGCUCCACCACCUGACGGGGAAUGAACGGUCGAAUGAAAACAAGGAAGAGACGUUGUAGCAGGAUAUGACAGUCAUGACUCUUCAACCCGUACAUCUUAUUGUCCCGGAAGUUCACACACCGGGCUAUAUUUCCUGCAUAGCCUGAAGGAUACUUCACACAACUCAUCCACCUGAAAAUUAUGUUCUUCUGGUCAGGCUUCACGGUGUAAGGAGCUUGAGGCAUUUUUUUCUUUCCUUCUUUCAACCACAGAUGUCUUCUUAAUUGCAUUUUUUUUAGAUCAAUGCGUGCCUUAGGACCGUCUUUUGUCUUCCCCUCCAAGUUCAGCACUGUGCCCACCACACUGUCGCAAACAUUCUUUUCUAUGUGCAUCACAUCUAGGUAGUGUCUGAUCAACAACUUACUCCAGUAUGGGAGUUCCCAGAAUAUGCUCUUAUGUGUCCAGAAUUUGUACAUGUCGGGUCUUUCAGGUAUUGCCGCCACAGUAUUGGGAUGAUUGCUAAGCUAGCCAAAAUCGUACUCAUUAAGCACUGCUAAAAUUUCUUCUCCUGUCCAUCUUCUGGGAGGCACACCGUGUUCUACGGUCCCAUCAAAUGCUUUGUCAUUGAACCGCCAUUCGUGAUUAUAUGGAAGGAAAGCACGGUGACCCAAUCUGCAUAUCUUGUUGCAAUGAUUGCUGCUCCCCUCAUCGCUAAGGCACUCUGGACAAGCCUUGUAUCCCCUAACAACGUUGCCCGACAACAUCCCACGGGUAGGAAAAUCACUGAUGGUACCAACAACCAUGACAUGCAUCUGGAACAUCUCGUGCAUGUACUUGUCAUAAGUGGGAUGACCAACUUCCCACAAAAACUGAAGCUCUUCAAUCAAAGGUCUCAAAUACACAUCGAGACACUUCCCUGGAUAACCGGGGCCCGGAAUCAACAAACUCAACAUAUUGUAUUCCUUCUUCAUGCACAUCCAUAGAGGAAGGUUGUACGGUACCAAAAUCACCGGCCAUACACUGUAUUGAAGACUCAUGUUGCCAAAAGGGUUGAACCCGUCGGAUGAGAGCCCGAGCCUCACAUUUCGGACCUCUGACGCAAAAUGAGGAAACUCCCUGUCUAUAUGCUUCCAAGCCUCCCCGUCAACAGGGUGUAUAAGGGUAUCUUCGUCAUGCAAUUCCCUAUCAACGUGCCAUCUCAUAGCUUGGGCCGUGUGUGAAGACAUGUACAACCGCUCAAACUUAUCCCUCAACGGGAAAUACCGAAGUACCUUCACAGGUUUCCUAUUGCCUGCAGGAGUCAGCUUAUACCUGUCAGUGUGACAUACCGGACAUGCGUCAAGCCCACCAAGGUCAUUCCCUUCUGGAUCUUUACCCUAGAAGAGAACGCAGUCAUAUCUGCAUGCAUGGAUCUUGAUGUAGGAAAGCCCAAGAUCUUUCAGGAUACAUCGGACCUUACGAUGAGUGGUAGGAAGACGAUGACCGUGGGGCAGCAUCGAAGCAGUGUACUGUAGAUAAUCAUCAACAGCCUUCACGGUCGAUUUUGUCUCAACUUUAAUCUUCAUUACGUCCAUCACACUUUCAAGAACAGUCUUCUGACAACCGGGGUACACAGGGGUCUGUUGGAAAGCAAGCAGUUUGUUGUACUUUUCAAUAUCAGCAGUGUUAACAGCUCUAGGGAAGGGCUGCACCGGGUCAGGCAUAUACUGUCCUUGAGCGCAUACACCGCUCUCAUAAGGAAACAUGUCUUUGAUGAAUGCCGUUGUUGGAUCGUUGGAUGUACUGCCCGUCUCAGAAAAUUAGGCCAUGAUCAUGCGGACCCCCUGAUGAUGUUUCACCGUGAUAUAACCAACAUGUGUACUUCUCCCAAAACCCGUUACUCCUCAGGUGCUGCCAUACUUUGUCAAUGGGAAAUCGAUGCAUAUCGCUGCGACACUGACAUUUCGUGCACGGGCAAUAGAAAAUUGUAUUCCCGUUAGCAUUAGCCAGCGCAUAUUCUAUAAAACUCAUAACUCCUGCACCGUAUCUUUUGUCCCAUUUUAGAAGCGAAAUCCAACUCUUAUCCAUAUCCUGAAAAUAUAACAAAAUAUAUAUUUAUAACGCUGCUAGCUAAUUAUUAAUGAAAUUUCAUGCCAUAUAUAAAAUCUCAAUUCAUUUAGUAUAUAUUCUACGUACUACAACUAAUUAAUAACAAAUUAAUUAACAUACACACAUAUAUAUAUAUAUAUAUAUAUACUUAAUAAUUACAGAACAAUAUUAUACAUAUAUAUAUCUACAUCAUCACAAAAUCAUCAUUGUGGUAUAUACCAUCAACACAAUAUUAUAAAUUAAUUAACAUAUAUAUAUAUAUAUAUCUACUACUUAUAAACAACUUCAUAUAUAUUAUAUCAAAUCAUCAACCAAAUCGAUCAACAUAUAUGUAUAUAUAUACAUCCAACAUACUCAAAAUCAAUUAACUCGAUCACAAUCAAAAUCAUAUAUCAACAUCAUCAUGAACUCAUAUAUAUCAUCAACAACUUCAUACCAUAUCAACACAAUAAUAUUAUAAAUUAAUUAACAUAUAUAUAUCUACUAUUUAUUAACAACAAAUUAAUUCAUAUAUAUUAUCAAUUCAAAUCAUCAACCAAAUCGAUCAACACAUAUAUAUAUAUACAUCCAACGUACUCAAAAUUAAUCAACUCAAUCACAAUCAAAAUCAAUAAACUCAAUCACACUUAAAAUCGAUCAACUCAAAUAAAACUCAAUUAAUCAACAUAUAUAUACAUAUACGUACCUAUAUAUGGCUCCACAAACUAAUUAUGGACAGAUUUCGACAACACCCAAACUUUUUCUCCCGUUUUUCUUCUCCUGUUUUUUUCCCAGAUGAGCUGCUGCUGUCCAGAUCCGCAAACAUAAAGCACUUUAGCCGACGACAUAUUAAUUUCGUCGGCUAAACUUUUAAAUAUUUCGUCGGCCAUAGUUUGUGAACUUUAGCCGACGAAAUUUUUUUUUCGUCGGCUAAAGUUUACCAUAGCCGACGAAAAUUUAACUUAGCCGACGAAAGAUAAUUUCGUCGGCUAAAGUGGACUUUAGCCGACGAAAAAAUGCUUCGUCAGCCUGGUUUUUUUUUUUCGUCGGCUAAAGCCUUUCUUCUGGUAGUGCAAGUACCUGCAUGACAAGCACGCGAAUAAGAAUGCUAGCAAUGCACAAGAGAUAUAAGAUAUAGAUCGAGCAAGUGAGAGUUCUUAAUUUGUUCAAAAUAAGGGUAACUAUAGCUACUUGAUUAGUACUAAGUACUCUUAAUAGCUGUUUUGUAACACAUGUAAGGCCUGGUGUUAUUUUCUCAAACACCUUGACGUACAAUUGUGUUAAACACAUUAUCAUAUAAUAUUAUUGGAAUAUCUAGUUGUUGGCGUACGUAAUAUCUUUCUCGUCAGCAUUAAUUUAUCUUGGUUAAAUUCAAAUUAAUCAACAGGCCGGCAUGAACUGAAGUAAGGAGGUUCUCUCUGAAAUGACUUGGCCAAGAUAUGCUGACCCUUGGCCACCUGAUGAUGAUGAUUUGAAUUGUUGCAUGCUAUUAAAACUGAAGAAGAUAUGUAGAAGAUAUUCGUGAAGGUUAAUUGAUUCUGUUAUUAGUUGGCUGAUUCUAUCAUUGCUGUUAAUAGAGAUAUGUAUCUAUAGUUACCUAGUUUGUCUAGAGUUUCCUUCUGUACAAGAAGUCUUGUAGGGUUUCGGUGUAAUAGCUUGUAUAUAAGCUGUGUAACUCCUUCGAUAUAGUUUGGGCAAUAUAAUAUAGUUCAUUCCAAGUUUCUUUAUGGUAUCAGUAGCAAGCCAAUCCUCGGCCAAAUCCUAAAACACCGAAACACUCAAACAACCUCAUGACAGAAGGUGACGACGAGAAGAAAGUGCUAGCCCUAUUGAGGGAGAAGCUGCUCAAAGAAGCCUCUUCUUCUGGCGCUCUCGCACACACACCUGAACCAUGGGAGAUCUCAAAUCACCCUCUCUAUCUUCACCAUUCGGAUCAGCCUGGUGCGAUUCUCGUAUCACAAUCCUUGGCAGAAGACAACUACAUGCAAUGGAGCCAAUCCAUGGCCAUGGCAUUGCAGAUCAAAAACAAGAUUGGCUUCAUCAAUGGGACCUCACAACGUCCUACAGAAGACCAGGCAGAUGAGCGGCAACAGUGGGACAGAUGUGACAUUCUUGGCAAAACUUGGCUUGGAGCAUCUAUGUCGAAUCCUAUUGCCAAGAGUGUCAUGCACUGCAAAAGCGCUCGAGCAGUUUGGCUUGAGUUGCAAGAAAGGUUCAUGCAAUCCAACACCGUCCAGUUAUUCAACAUAGAGAAUGAGAUUCACGGAUGUGAACAAGGUACCGAUUCUGUGACUACCUUUUUCACUAAACUCAAGGCACUAUGGGAUGAGCGAGAUGCCCUUUGUGAUCUAAGUCCCUGUGCAUGUGAGGAAGGUGGCAAGCUAUGUGAGUAUGUGAAAAAUAAAAAAACAAUGAAGUUUCUCAUGGGAUUGAAUGAGAAUUAUGCGCAAAUACGUGGCACCAUUGUUGCUAUUGAGCCUCUCCCGGUUGUCAACAAAGCCUACUCGAUGGUUCUUCGUCAUGAGAAACAGGCUGAGGCAGCCAUGGGAAGCAAACAAGGCGUGCAACAACAAGAAGCUGCAGCCUUUACCGUGAGAGGCAGUGACCGAGACAAUAGCCGAGACAACGGCAGAUCCAAUAGCCGUGCCGAGAGCGCCGAAGGCAGCAAGCCAAAAUAUGAAAAGUGCAAUAAGAGUCACCUUACCGAGAAUUACCGCCAGCAUCUAAAGUGCACGUUUUGCGGUUGAAAGGGUCACACCUAUGACAUUUGCCGAAGAAGAAAGGCCAUAGCAGAUCGAAACUCCAGGAGUAACCAUGUUGCUUCGAUGUUUGAAGAUGGAAACCCGGUCAACUUCCCUUUCUCAAAGGAAGAAUGCAAGCAGAUUGUUGAUAUGCUGAACAAAAACAAAGCAAGCACCGCAAAUCAUGUUGGUAAUUCUUCUAGCUUUGAAGAACUAUCAGGUAAAGCUUUACAUUAUGUACGACAUGAUCAGAAAAGUACUUGGAUUUUAGACAGUGGGGCUAGCGAUCAUAUUAUAUGUACUCCUCAUCUUCUCACCACUAAAUAUCCUGUCCAAAAUAGAAGUGUCAAACUUCCUGAUGGUAACUUUGCUAGAGUGAGUCAUGUUGGGACAGUGUCUUUUUCGUCCACCUUUGUGCUUCACAAUGUUUUAUGCGUACCAUUGUUUUACCUGAAUCUUAUAUUUAUCAGCAAGCUUGCACGUGAUUCAUUAUGCGUCACAGUCUUUCUAAAAGAGUUUUGUUUCAUACAGGACCUACGAUCGGGGAAGAUGAUUGGGACGAGAUCUGAGAAGGAAGGCCUAUAUUGUCUCGACAAAGCUAAGCAAGGCACAUGUCACAUGGUCUCGAGUCAGUCAACCUCUAUUUGGCACCAAAGGCUUGGACAUCCCUCGAGUCGAGUAUUUUCUAAGUUUUCCUUUCUUUCUAAUAAAUCUUGCGAUGCAAGUAACUGCUCUGUGUGCCCUUUGGCCAACAAACUCGGAAGUCUUUUCCUUUAAGUACAAUUUCAAGCAAAUUUCCUUUUGAAUUGAUUCAUGUUGAUAUUUGGGGAGCUUAUCAUGAACCUACUUAUUCGGGAGCCAAAUAUUUUCUCACCAUAGUUGAUGACUACACUAGGAGCACUUGGGUCUUUUUGAUGUCACAAAAAUCUGAAGCUCGAGGUUUAUUAGUCAAUUUUAUUCACUUUGCCGAAAACAGUUUGGUGCAAGUGUCAAAAUUGUGUGUAGUGAUAAUGGUCCUGAAUUCAAACACAACGAAUUUUAUGUGUCAAAAGGUAUUUGUCAUCAAACAAGCUGUGUCAACACACCAAGUUUCUUGGUGUGGUUGAGAGAAAGCAUCGACAUCUCCUCAACAUGGCACGAGCUUUACUUUUCCAAGCUAGUCUUCCUAAAAGUUUCUGGGGUGAUGCCAUUCUUACAUCAGCUUAUUUAAUCAAUAGAACUCCUACACCACUAUUAGGAGGUCAGAGUCCUUUCGAAAAACUGUUUCACAAAGACCCAAGUUAUUCUCACCUCAAAGUUUUUGGUUGUCUUUGUUUUGCUUCCUCACACCCAAACAAACCAGCCAAAUUCGAACCAAGAGCUCACAAAUGCAUUUUUUUGGGCUACCCAUACGGGCAGAAAGGUUACCGGGUCUACAACAUAGAAACCGAGCAAGUUACUAUGUCCAGGGACGUGAUUUUUCACGAAACAGAAUUCCCCUAUGCUGCUAUACACAGUCCUAAUUCUACUAGGGUUACAUCACAAGACUUUGGGCUCUCUAGGGUUUCCAAUGACAUUCGGGUUUCAGGACCAGGUAGGGUUUCUUUUCCACCACAUAACAAUUUGCUUCCGCCACAAGAAAGGGUUUCCUAGACUGCCUUUAGUGUCGAACCACAAACAUAGAUACUUCCAACAGUUCUCCAACCCUCACCUACCUUCACCCACCGAUCUAGUGUCACCAGCUCCGAAUCCUAACCCUACUCUCCUCAUCGAGUCUUCCUCUUCUGCCUCGGAUCCACACACUACUCCUUCUUCUCCUUGUCGCUCUUCCUGUCCUACAAAGCCUCCGACCUUCUUGCAAGACUUUCAUGUCGAGACAGCGCUACCUUCCAGGGCAGUCCCAUCAUCUGCUCCGAUGUCAGGUACUACUCACUCCCUUGCUCAUGUGUUGUCUUAUGAUCGUUUAUCACCUUCUCAUCGUGUUUUUAGCACUCAACUCACCCUCCAUAAGGAGCCCACUUCUUAUUCUGAGGCAGUACAAGUCCCAGAAUGGCGAACUACCAUGCAAGCUGAGAUUAAGGCUUUGCAAUCUAACAGAACAUGGAGUUUAGUGCCUUUACAGCCCAAUAAACGUGCUAUCGGUUGCAAAUGGGUUUACAAGCUCAAGUUUAAUCCGGAUGGCACCAUUGAGAGAUACAAAGCUCGCCUUGUAGCUAAAGGUUAUAGUCAGAUAGCAGGAAUUGAUUAUCGAGAGACCUUUGCACCGGUUGCCAAGCUUACCACCGUGCGUGUCUUACUCGGCCUUGCUUCCAUCAAUGGUUGGCAUUUACAUCAACUUGAUGUCAAUAAUGCCUUCUUGAAUGGAGAUCUUUCCGAGGAAGUCUAUAUGCAUCUUCCUCCUGGAUUUGGAGGAAAGGGGGAGAAUCGUGUGUGCAAGCUACACAAGAGUUUAUACGGAUUGAAACAAGCCUCGAGACAAUGGUUUAUCAAGCUUUCUACUGCUCUCAAAACCGCAGGCUUUCAUCAGUCAUGGUCGGACUAUUCUCUUUUUGUACGUACACGAGGAAGAAAGUUCACUGCUCUUUCAGUAUAUGUGGAUGAUGUAAUAUUGGCAGGAAAUUGCAUACAAGACAUCGAAGACACAAAGACCUUUCUUUUGAACCAAUUCAAGUUGAAGGAUCUUGGGCAACUUAAGUACUUUCUAGGCAUUGAAGUGGCAAGAUCCAAGAAAAGCUUGGCGUUAUGUCAGCGGAAAUACGCCCUUGAAGUCCUUGAGGAUGCAGGCUACUUGGGUGCAAAACCAUCUCGGUUUCCUAUUGACCAUAACCUCUCCCUCACACAAGCAGAAGGUGAUUUAUUGAAAGAUCCAUCACAAUACAGGAGAUUAGUGGGACGGCUUAUCUAUCUGACCAUCACUCUGCCAGACUUGGUAUAUUCAGUACAUAUCCUAAGUCAGUUCAUGAAUCAACCUCGUCAACCACACAUGGAUGCAGCCUAUCGAAUUUUACAUUACAUGAAACACACUCCUGGACAAGGUAUCUUGCUUCCUUCGACAGGAAAAUUAGAACUCACUGCAUUUUGUGACGCUGAUUGGGCGAGAUGCAAGGACACUCGACGAUCCAUUACUGGAUCUUGUAUCGUGCUUGGCAAUGCACCGGUUUCAUGGAAAGCUAAGAAACAAGGUACGGUUUCUCGUUCAAGUGCAGAGGCUGAGUACAGGUCUAUGGCAUCCACUUGUUAUGAGGUAACGUGGCUCAGAAAUAUCUUAAAGGAUUUAAACGUACGUAAUUUAGCUCCUACAAGAUUAUUUUGUGAUAAUCAGGCUGCCAUUUACAUAGCUACCAAUCCGGUUUUUCAUGAACGUACGAAACAUAUUGAAAUUGAUUGUCAUGUUGUACGUGAGAAAGUGCAACGAGGAGUAGUGAAGAUGGUUCAUGUUGGAACCAAAGACCAGCCGGCAGAUCUCUUCACCAAGCUGUUGAGCUCUAUUCAGUUUGAGACAUUGCUUAACAAGUUGGGUGUCAUCAAUAUUCAUUCCAACUUGAGGGGGAGUAUUAAAACUGAAGAAGAUAUGUAGAAGAUAUUUGUGAAGGUUAAUUGAUUCUGUUAUUAGUUGGCUGAUUCUAUCAUUGCUGUUAAUAGAGAUAUGUAUCUAUAGUUACCUAGUUUGUUUAGAGUUUCCUUCUGUACAAGAAGUCUUGUAGGGUUUCGGUGUAAUAGCUUGUAUAUAAGCUGUGUAACUCCUUCGAUAUAGUUUGGGCAAUAUAACAUAGUUCAUUCCAAGUUUCUUUACAUGCAUCAAUCACUAAAUGGCUUUAAAAAGUUGGUUAUGUUUUAGAUGAUGUAUGAGUAGUAGAAUAUAGAUCCGAAUUGAUACUCUCUUUCAUUGUAUCUGUCGAACAAUCUUUUAUGGGAUAAUCUUCGAGUUUAUUUGACCUGCAGUUUCUGCAGUUUCAAUAUGCACCAUCGAUCUGCGUCCAACCAACUAUCGCUGAUUACUUUUGAUAGGCAUAUUGGAUACCAUGCCACCAGAAACAUCACCGUUCUUGAGAAAACCAAUCCUUAAAUGAUCUUUUAUAAACAUAUGAAUACCAGGAGAAACAUACAACUGCAAUGCAAGGCACCUCAUUUCUUGCUGUUAGCGCGCACACGGGGUGACUUGUCUUUCAGCACUCCUAUAUGGUGCGUUGAUAAUAUUCUCUCAAUCUAUAUAUAGGUGAAAACUAUAAUAUUUUCACUGUUAAUCCCAUUGGUACGUAAGAGACAACGUACUGAAUUUGAUCCACAAAUCUGUAUCGUCUCCACUCUGCCGCACCUCCCAAAUCAACAAUCAAAGAACUGUAAGUAAAUGAAUGUUAGGGCUUUAACUUGAUGGAUUAUAAUUGUAAUAUGGAUUUUGGGAAAGAAUGAGGGAACGAAGUAACUAAAGAGAAUGAAGAAUCAGGAUUAGAUCGAGUGCAGAAGCCUCUAACACACUAACUGGUUGACUAGUAGUACACCGUCCAGAGACGUACUCCUUGAAACAAAACUUGGAUACAGUAUUUGCUUAAAGAGCUCGAUCACCAUGUCAGCCCAUUCGGCAAAGGCUAUUUCUUUCAAUACUAGUCUGGGGCGGCGGUCAAAUUAUAUAUAACAUCUAUCAAACUAUAUUUGAAUUUGUAUUCAGAGUUACAGCUAGGUAACUGGGCUGCCAUUCCCCGUUUACAAAGAUUCGAUCGAAUACCGCAUGAUUACCAGAUUCAUAUACUGCUAAAAUUGCAGCUUGGUCGAUCUCUGUUGUCGACAUCAACUAUUGAGAUAAUCAAGCAAAAACCCUUAAUCUGAGCAUGUGUUUAACGCUUAGUUGCCGCAUGAUAAGAAAUGACAAAACAAAACCCCCUUUCAUUAGAAGAAGUCAGCUGCACCAAUGAAGCAAGAAUCUUAGCCAGUUCAUCUCAGUACGAUCGAUACUGGGUUGCAGAAUAUAUAAUAAUUGUUUGUGAAGUUAAGCCUGUGGAUAAAGAAUGAUUAAGUGAUGCCAUAGGCUUUAGCAAGCUAAUGAUCAAUAUUUUGUUCGAUAAUAGAAUUGACAGAAUACAUAGUUGGAUAGUGUGAUCUUUAUUCUGAAGUAGAGUAUAAAUUCUGUCUGUUUCGUAUCUUGCAAGAAAGGAGUGUUUAAUUUCGUUCUCUAUUUUUCUCUCGGAGUCUGAGAUGGGAAUAAUAACAAGAUGACGAGGGAGAGAAGCUGUACAGGGGCCUCUAGUAGUAUUACUGUACGCCUGUACCUCACCGACCCAGAAUUGAAGAACCCCAAUUUUUAUAAUUGUGAUGCCAGGAUCCGUCCUCGCAUUUCUUUAUCUCUAUAGCUGAAGGUCGCAGCAAAAAGUUGACAUUAUUAAUUCUUUUGCAACUCACGCCACCGCACUAUGACACUAGCCAUCUCCUUUGAUGAUUAUCCUUAUCCCUAGCUCCCUCCAGAUCUUUCAGCUAGUUUCACACUAUUGCCUGCAUGCAGGUAUAUAUGGUGUAUAUGUCUUUGUAUAUAUAUACUGGACGCUGUAUAUACGUGCUGAGCUCCAUUCCUGGAAUGACUCAUCAAUUUUUUUUCGUUUGAUUGCAUCUAUAGCGAUCGACCGAUCAAUAAACUUUAUAAAAAUGUAUUAGACAUGAGGCAUGAACGUUGGUAUCGAAAGUAAAACUCCAAGUGAAUAUUGACCUUUUCUGAGUGCUGCAUAUAUAUAUAUGUAUGCAUUGCCCAAAUAUGCAAGUAGUACGAUAGAGCAUCAGUGAAUGUACGGUCAAGAACACCAAAAAUAUAAGGGUGACCCUUGGCUUCCCAUUUGGGCCAUUUAUACAACUAUGCCGGCCGUUGCUUCACAAAGUAGGGUUGGGCGCAGGUCGAGCCCGGACUGUUUUUUUUAGGGCCCGGGCCCGGGCCCGGUCCGGUUGUAGUGUGACGGGCCGGGUUUAGUCGUCAAAAUAUCAAGGCCCGGGUAAAACCCAGUCCGGGUGUGUUAAUUACAGGGCCCAGGUAAAGCCCGGACCGGUAUCAUCUGGGCUGAGCCCGCCCAGGUUUUCGAACCCAGCUCUUCUUUUUGGCUGGUAAUGAAAGCAAAAUAGCAAAUAACCUGUGUCUCUGUAACAGAAAGGCAAAUACUGCAAUUGCCUACCAAGCACCAAAUAUAUUGUUCAGUGUUCACCAUUUGUCCACUACAAAUACAAAGUCAUAACCCACCAAAUUAACCAAAGUUCAAUUGAAAGUUUGAAACUUGAAGGUUGAAACUUUGAAAGAAAACCAGAAAAUCCAAACAUGCAUAAUCAAAUCAAUCGAUGGGCAGAUCCUCCAAAUCUUCAAUGCAAGCCUGGACCUGAGAUUUUGAGACCCGAGUCAAACUCUCAAAAUUGGGCCCUCAAAUCGUAGUUUGCAUCUAGUUUAAUUUUUUUAUUUAUCUAAAGAAUUUAAGAAACUAAAUAUAAACUCAAGAUUUAACUAUGUAUAAAACAAUAUCAAAAAAUAUUUGGAUUAUAAUUAAUAUUUUAAUAAUUUAAAUUACAUUAUAAACCUUACGUUUUAUUUUCUUCCAAAGUUUACCUUUUGUUUUGGGUACAAAUUUUGAAUAGUAAUUAAAUGGUAUAGACUUUUAAUACUAUUUCCUUGUUUCUUUGACUCAAAAUAUAUUAUUUUAUAUAUAUUGUAUAGUUAAACCAAGUUUGUUUGGGCCCAUUCAGUACCUCUUUAAUUCUUUAAUUGCUGUAAGAAAAUGGAGCUCUGUGGUUGUACUUUCUUUUCGAUGGGAACAGUAAUUGUACUUUUCCUUUGCGUUAUUUAACUGUUGUUUAUCAUGUAAAGAGCUGUAACUUUCUUUUUCUAGGCCUCUUGAACUCCAAGCCCUGAGUCGACCGGCUCGUCAGACUCGUAUCAAGUCCGACCCUGCUUUAAUGCACACCUUGACUUCAACUUUAAUCUCCAUUCUCCAAUGCACUUCAAUACUUACCUUGUACCUGUAAGACAAGGUGUAAAAUAGAUUCAGUUGGCCUGCAUUUACAAAUGAAUGAGCAUAUUUUAAUGGUGGCAGGGCUUAAGAGAUUCAGUUUUUCAGUACAAUAGAAUUUAAAUUUUGUUUUCCAAUGCAUUAGAAAAUUUUCAAUUGCAAAUGAAUGUGUCUGUUAGCAAAGAUAAGUAGAUAACAACGACAACUCAUUCAAGUUCUUUGUAAAUGCAAAAUGCCUAUCUUAGUAUCUUAGAGGCCAGUAGACCAGUAGUACACUAGUAAACACAAUGACACAAUGGCAAGCCAAUCUAGCAUAUUACCAUCUUACUCAUAUCAAGUAACAUCACUACUGUUCUAACAACAUCACUACUGUUUUAAGUUUAUAACACUACAAAUAACAAACAAUAAUGAAUCAAAACAACAUCACAAUAGCACAAGCACUGAAGCAACAUCACAAUAUACACCAACAAGUCAACAACAUGCUAUCAUAUAUGUAAGAUCACCAUUCACCAAUUCAUGGGCAUAAACACUGAUUUCACAUAGGAGAAAGAAGCUGAUUCACAUAGAUUUCACACUGAUUUCACAUAAGAGAAAGAAGCUGAGAAUUGAGAAGAAUGGUACCUGAGUCAGCCUUGCCACCUUGGUUCGUGGUCUGAGUGAGAGGGACAGACAGUGAGAGAUGACUACUCGGCACCGGAGAGACAAGAGUUUGAGAGACGACAACUCGGCACAGGAGAGACCGAGAGCACUGAGAGUCUGAGAGACGAGGCCACGAGUCCACGACGACUCAACGAGUGAGAGGGAGGCGAGUGAGGCGACGAGGAGCGGCUGUGAUGGCGCGGCGAUGCGAGUGAGGCGACGAGGAGCGACUGCUAUGGUGCGGAGAUGCGAGGCGACGACGAGGAGCGGCUGCGAUGGCGCAGCGAUGCGAGUGAGGCGAGGACGAGGAGCGGCUGCGAUGGCGCGAUGAUGCGAGGCGAUGACGAGGCGAUGGAGGCGCGGCAAAUGGGCGAUGCAUGAGAGAGGCGCGGCGAUGAGAGUGAGACUGAGAAAUUGACUAAUUGAGAGUAAGGGCUGAGGAAGUGAGGAGUCGAUCCACUCGAUCGAUGGUUUAGGGUUAUCUGGUUAUGUUCCAGUGUCAUUGUACCUAUUUUAUAAGUUUAGGACCACUUACGAAAGCCAAUUAGAUAAUAACACCUAAGGUCCUGGGUUUCCGGGCUUUUUUUGUUUAAAGAUUUGAAGGCCCGGGCCUGGCCCGGACAGAACAAAGCCCGGCCCGUUUAUCACAUACCAACACACGAGCCCGGAAAAAAGCCUGGCCCGUCGGUCCGAUCCGGGUUUUUUUUUCUUCUUCGAGCUUUUUGCCCAGCCCUAUCACAAAGGCAGUAGCUACUAGCUAGGAAAUCGAAAAAAAGGCAGUAGCGUGCUUGGUAUUCCGCAAAGGAAAAUGAUUCUAGACCUUAGACCUUAUUAAGGCCUAAGAUUUUAUGCCUCAAAUCUACCUGGCAUAUCAAAUCACUUAGACACAUCACAUAUUAAAAAAUUUAUGUCAUGUAAUACUUAAGUAUAAAGACCAUCUUACCAUUUGGUCCAUUUCAAACAAUGACUCUAAUAAAUUUCAGUUUUUCAUUAAAUAAUAAAACUAUUUUAGCUUUCCUUCUUCUAAAUAUCUAAUUAAAUAUAAAAAAUAUAACAUCAAAAUAACAUUAUAUUAUAUAUUUAUAAUACAUGUAUAUUAUAAAAAAAAAUACAUGUAUAUAUAUUAUAUAAAUAAUAUGUAAGUAAAUCAUUUAGAGAAAUUAUUUGUAUAUAAAUUAUUUUCAGACGAAUUAUAGAAAAUUUUGAUGAAUUAUAUCCAAAUUAUCUUAUAUUAGUGUUUUUUUUAUGAAUUAUAAUUGCUUUUUGGACGAAUUAGGGUUAGAGUUAGAGUUUAUUUGACAAAACUAAUUAUUAAUUAAAAAAUAGUUAAUCUUCAUAUUGAUAUAAGAAACAUUCCUUAUAUUAUACACAAUUAGUGGUUGCUAUUAAUAUGUAAUAUUUGUUUCCAUUACCUAAUAAAGUACAUUAAUAUCAUUGAUUCACCCCUUAAAACGUAAAAAGAAAUAGAAAUGGUAAAAUUGGUAAUGCAAUGUUUUUGAUUUGGCAAGAUUUAUUAUGUGGAAUCAAAAAUAAAUAUUUUUAUUUACUUACAUAGCAUGACACAUAGGAUUAAGACCACAAAUUUUAGAUCUUAUUAAGGCCCUCUAGCACUACCCUUCUGUAAAUUGCAUAUAUGAGAUCGAGCUCGAUCAUAUCACAAUAAAGGAUAGUAUACACGUGCAUAUAUAAAUAUAUAUAUAUAUAUAUAUAUUAUAUAUAUAUAUAUAUUUAUACAGGACCCUUCUAAUGAGAGAUCCUUUUUUUUGACAUAUAUGAGGGAUGGGGGAUUACACCAACUUUUCGAUUAUAUUUUUGAAUCUCUACCGUUCAGUUUGUUGGUCCUUACAUAUAGAUCAAUUCUAUAAAUUUUCAGCAAAUUUGGUGAUCGUUAAGGUGUCGAACAAGAUUAAAUCAAUGAACCAACCAAAUCUGCCAAACUUGAACCGUUUAUGCUUAUAAUUAUAAAUCAUAGUUUUGAAUACCUUAAGGAUCACCAAAAUUUCAAAAAAUUUGUAGAAGUGAUCUACCCAUAUAGAACUACAUAUUGAACAGUGGCGAUGUGAUUUUGUGAUCGGAAAGUUGGUGUAAUCCCCCAUCCCUCAUAUAUGUCAAAAAAAGGGAUCCCUCAUGCAUUGGAAAGGGCAUGUGUGUGUGUGUGUAUAUAUAUACACACACACAGAGUCGUUCUAAAGAGGACGUCCGCACAGCCUUUAAAGUGUGGACGUCCUCUUCGUUCGCCACCAUACGGCGCCGGUGAGGGCGCGCCUCCACCCCAGCGGACUCCAGCAGCGUCCCUGACCACUUUCCCUCCCCGGCGAGUCUGCUGAAUUCCAGUUUUCCGGNNNNNNNNNNNNNNNNNNNNGAGCUUUUCAAUUGAUGGGGAUCAAUAUUCAUGCACUCUUCUAGAAUGAGAUCGAUGACAGACGACCGAUGACAUAUAUAUCAUGCAUCAUCUAGAAUUAUCCGAGUCCAAAAUUAAUUUUUAUGAAUUAUUAAUUAUUACUUCUCUGAAUCAACUAAAAUUAUUUUUCUUGGAUAAAAAUUGAAAUUUCAUACAAAAGGAAUCAAACUUUACAUUAUUUUUGGAUCUUAAAAUCAGACUUUGGAUCCAACAAAAUUUCACCCCUAAUUUAAAGCUUAAUGCAUGUACGUGUUAAUAUAUUUAACCAAAACAGAUACAGUAUUUGCUAAUCAUGUUCUCGGAUUUCUUGGAUGAUGUAGUCUGGUCUAACCUUAUGUCGACUGAGAAAUAACAAUUUGGACUAAAUUAAAGGCAACUACAUACACAUCAAUUUACAUGGAAAAUAUAGAGGAUAACUUUGGGGACCUCAUUUGUAUGGCAUGAGUCUGCCUUUCGCCAUCGAUGUGUGUCGUGUUGUUUUGGCCAGACGCAUCAUUGUGCGAGAGGGAGAUAACACUUCUUUAUUAUCUCCAAUGAUGAACCUAAAAAUUAAUUUUCAUAUUGUCAAAUUACAUUUAGUAUUACGUAUAUUGGGUCUGUAUUAUAUUCCUUUGAAACACAAGAAAUAAUGGAAACCCUAUGAACAGUCAUGAUCAUAUUCUUGGAUUGUACCUUAUGAUUUCCAUGAAAUUAACCACAUAUAUGCAACAUUUGUAUAUAACUUUCUCUCCUCCCUUUUCAUGAAUUGGAAGCGAAUCCAUAUAGAAAAAGGAGGUCCCAAUUGGAUAAAUCCAACUAGCUAGUCUCUCCAACUCGAUCAUCGAUAUCCAUCAGAUAUAUGCUGCAGGAUAAUGAUAGAUAUGCCAAGAAGUUAAUGACCUCAAGUUAAGGCCUUGCUACAAGCUCACUACAAGAAAAAGAGAGAAAGAUCGAAAAGAAUGCACAUAUUUAGGCACAUAAAACAAGAUAUAUAAGAAGGUGAAUCGCCGUACAAAGGACACGUUGUUGUUAACUUCCGUAUGCAUAGAUUCGAAGUUGUGCAUUCGAACUUUAAUCUCUGUAGUGCAUCCGAUCGUUGUCAAGUAAUGAUGUUAUAACCAAUCCAAUAUCUUCGAACCCAAAUAUUAUAUAAAUCACAAUAAUCAAAUUGAAAUUACAAACAAUAAAAAAUAUGAAAUUGAAAUUACUAACUUAAACAGAUAGAGGCUUGCGAAACAGUGACCUAAGACAGAAAUUCGCCUAUCUUUUAACUAUAUAUAUGUCUAUAUAUAAAUAUAGUUUAUUUUCUAUUAGAAAAACCCAACAGAAAACCCACCAAGCUCAAUCAAGCAUUUACAUCAAUUUAAUUAGUCACAAGGAGAGUACCUUAUAAAGACCACCACUUUUAGUUCUUCUUCCAUGUGUGGGAUUUAGUUCCAACAAAUGAUAUAUACAUCCAUUUGUGAAAUAUCUAAUCAAACAUUUUCUUGUUUUCCUUCACUUUCAAAACCCUUUAAUUUCUAUCUGAUUCUGAGCAAAUGCCAAUCCACACCCCCAUUCCAUCGCCUAUAUAAACACUUCCAAGACACCCCAAAACUCACUCCAACAAAACCUCAUCAAGUAUAACUAGUACGUACUGCAACCAUAUACUCCACGCUCCACAUUUCUCAGUUACUCACCCAUUAGCAUUACAUACUUUGCCUUGUUUGAUAUAUACAUUGUUGUUUUGGACCUUACCGAAAGACGAUUAACUUGCAAUGGAGGCGGUGACAAAGAUGGUGUCCGAGAGACCGGUGGUGAUCUUCAGCAAGAGCUCAUGCUGCAUAAGCCACUCAAUCAAGACCUUGCUUUCCGACUUUGGGGUGAACCCAGCAGUGUAUGAGCUUGAUGAGAUGCAAAGAGGGAGAGAAAUAGAGCAAGCUCUGUUGAGGCUCGGGUGCAGCCCAUCUGUUCCGGCUGUGUUCAUUGGUGGCGAAUUUGUUGGCGGAGCCAAUGAAGUCAUGAGUCUUCAUCUUAAGCGCUCCUUAAUCCCAAUGCUUAAGCGUGUCGGUGCAUUGUGGGUUUAAUUUGUUGGCGGAGCCAAUGAAGUCAUGAGUCGUCAUCAUCAUGUUAGCUAAGCACUUCCUGUCAAGAAUCUUAAUUAGUUAUGCAUGCAUAAGAGAUUAAGUGUGGGAUAAUUAUAUAUGACAUAUAGAGCCUGUGAGAGAUUUUAUUUUUAUUUUUUUAAAUAAGGCUACUAUUUCUACUUAAUUAGUAUUAAGUACUCUUACUAGCUUGAAAGGGUUAUUAGCCUUUUUGUGAUCCAAUGUACUUCGUGUUAUUUUCCCAAACACCAAUUGAAGGGGUUGAUAUUUGUGUUCAACUCAGUAUUGGUAUGGGAAGGAGAAUAUAUAUAUAUAUAUAUAUAUAUAUAUAUAUAUAUAUAUAUAUGUUAACCAAGUUGGUAUUAUUACAUUUCUCAUGCAAUGUAGAUCAAUACAUGUAUGCAUAAUUGGUAGUAAGGCUCGCAGUUCCAAAGACUUCAUGUUGAGUUGUGCAUAUAUGCCUAUGAAGGAUAUUCAAUUUAAUCAAGGCAUUACCUUACAAGGAGAUGUUCUCAACUUCUACUAAUAAGGAUAUAUCAAAGUAAUUAGAUGGCAUUGCUAGCUCAUUAUCAAAGACAGCUCCCCUCAUGAAUUUAUGAUGUGUUAUCUAAACCAAGUGGAUGUGAAAUUAGUAAGCCUGAAAAGAUGGAAGUCUAUAUAUAUGAAUAUUUGAAUGCAGGACUUCAGUGCGUACGUACUAGUUGAAGGGAAAAGAACACAGAUGAUUUGUAAAUUACAGUAUUCGCUAUACCAACUUAAACAGGCUAUCAAACAAAUGAUAUCUAAAAUUUCCUUUGGUUUAAAUAUGUUUUAGAUUAUAUGUCGGGGUGACAUUUCUUGGGUUUCAAUUUCAAGUAGUUCCUCUCAGAUAUGGGGGCACAAAACAAGUUAAAUAGGAGCUAGGAAGUUAAUUAACUCAAUUAGCUAGUUACAUUACUGCAUGUUAGGUUUCUAAGCCAUGAUUACUAAUAGUUAAGUUUCUCCGGUUCACACGUGUAUAUGAGAUUUGCCUUCUGCAGUCCUGCUAUUUCAAUUGAACCACGAAACACGAGGGGAAAAUAAUAUCGUAAGAUUCCUAAAUUAUAAGAAUUAUAUUGUGAUUUGAGUACAGAUUUCUAUUUAGGACUUGGGAUUCAACACUGUAUUUCUGAGUUCUGAGAAUAUUGUGCUGCCCUUGGACUGAGAACAUACACCUUUGUCGGAGGGCCUUGGGUUGUUUACGCAGAUAUGAAUUAAUGGAGAUGGUAACUGCCAUUGGACUGGGUUCAUGUUCAUAACUCAAUUUCUUAAACACUUUGCAUGUGCUGAUAGAAUCAAGUGACACAUUUGAGUGAUUUGACAAGAAUUGUUGCCAGCACCAAUUAAGAAGCACGAAUCACCGCCAAUCUUAAUAAGAUGUUUGUAUAGUAAACGUUGAUGGAACAAAUUAAACAUAUGUGGAUGAUCAUUAUAUGCAUCCGUAGCAGUUAGCAAGCAGCUAGCUAGGGAUCUGAUUUGGUUCGCUAACAGAAAAUGAUUAAUGAACACUUGUAUAUAGAUUUCUAUUCCUCUUCUUCUUCUUUUUUCCCAUGAUCCGCAUUAAGAUUUGGGCGGAGAUAGUGUUCUGAGUAUUGGUAUCUAGAAAAGCAACGUUAAAGAAAGCUACAGGAAAGGGCCUGAUGAGCCUCAUCCCUUUCUUCCUCAUGCAUCUUUUCUUUCAGUGAUCGAGAGCUAGAGAAUCUGUACAGGAUCUGUACCUCAUGCCCUCACCAAACCAGCUAAUAAUCUUAGAUUGUGAUGCCACGAUCCGUCCUUGCAAUCUUUAUCUGUAAAUUAAGCUAAAAAGUUGACAUUCGAUCAUUCUUUUUCCAACUUACACUAUGACACUAGCUUUCCUCCUUUUAGUUCAUAACGUAGAUCUUAUCCCUCUUAUCAGGUUCUUACAUAUCUAUAUUAAAACCUUGUGAUCGAUGUACAGUCCAGGAGCCUUAUUGACAGCUUUUCCGAUCUGUAGCUUCUCCCAGUUGGGGCCAUUUUAGAUCAAUCCCUGGCGAGAUAGAACUCCUCAAAGCAUUUUGUAGAGAUCUUCUGUAUAUAUUAGGUAUACUUUUGACGUUCCCAUCAAUAUUGUGUCCAAUAUUCGAAUUGGUGAUGCAAAGCUGGAAAAUAAAUAAAGUUAGGGCCGGGGCUUCCAGUUGAUGGGGAAUAUAGUCCUGCAGUCUUUUCCAUCGAGAUGACUCACAUACCAUGUAUUGAACCCUAGAGUAUAAGAAUAGGCAAUUGACAGGAAAAUAUAUAAUGAAAGAAGCAAAGAGGUGUUGUCUGGAACGUGUCAUCGACAUGGCUUCUCUAGCUAGCUUAUAUAUUCAUAAUUACUUAGAUAAUUGAAAAUUUUCUCUUUACAAAAAAUAAUCAAGAUUUCAAUAUAAAUAGCUAGUUAUGCUAUACAUAGCAGUAUAGCUGUAUAUGAUUUAAAACAGUGUCCUUUUCAUGAUUGGAUUCGAUCAAAUGCAAGAAGGAAAAGGAGGUCCCAAUUGGAUAAAUCCAACAAUUCUCUCCGACUCAGAAAAUAUUCGAGCUGCAGAAUAGAUACAAAAUGAAACACCAUGCAGAUCUAUAUAUGAUCAUAUCAAAUUUCCAUGAGCACAAAUAUAUUAAGUAUUAAUGAUUACUAAUGGAAUAUAACACCCUAGUAGGAAAAGUAACCUAUAUUUACGUGAUUCGUGUGAUUUUUUACGAUAAUAAGCAUAUCGAAAAAAGCAUGCGAAUCGUUUUUCCUCGUUACUAAUAGAAAUGAAGCAACAUACACCAAAUGAGAAACAAAAACGAAGAACAAAAUGCAUAUAUGGCAGUAAGGUAAGGAUCGAUGGACCAUAUCUAGGAUAAGAAUAUAUGUGAAACCGUACCAAGGACGCGUCUUUUUAUCCGUAUGUUAAAAUUCGACAUUGUGCAUUCAACUUUGAUUCUCUUAGCUAGUGCAGCUUUUGGAUAGCUGUCUAGAAAUGAUCGAUAUCAAAGUUUGUGAAAUCACAAAAUCAAAUUGAACAUUCUUAUUUUCCUUCUUUAUCAAAACCCUUUAACUUUUAGACAAUGCCAAUCAACUCUCCCCCAUCUCCUAUAUAUACACUUCCAUGGCACUCCAUAACUCACAAACACAUCAAACACCUCACCAUUACAGAUUCCUCCGAAAGCUCUAAUCUCUAUUUCCUCCGAAAUCUAAACACAUUUCACUUACCAACCGGCCGUUUCCAUUAGCUUACACUUCGUCUUCUAGUCAUUACAUAUUCACCUUGUUUACCGGAAGAAAGCUGCUAGCUAGCAAUGGAGGCGGUGACAAAGAUGGCGUCCGAGAGACCAGUGGUGAUCUUCAGUAAGAGCUCAUGCUGCAUGAGCCACUCAAUCAAGACCUUGCUUUCCGACUUUGGGGUGAACCCAGCAGUGUAUGAGCUUGAUGAGAUGCAAAGAGGGAGAGAAAUAGAGCAAGUUCUGUUGAGGCUCGGAUGCAGCCCAUCUGUGCCGGCUGUGUUCAUUGGUGGCGAAUUUGUUGGCGGAGCCAAUGAAGUGAUGAGUCUUCAUCUUAAGCGCUCCUUAAUCCCCAUGCUUAAGCGCGUUGGUGCAUUAUGGGUUUGAUCAAUCUAAUCACCAAGUUAACCAAGUAC